rnacentral:tRNA from 1 species
GCCGCCAUCGUCUAGCCCGGUCUAGGACACCGCCCUUUCACGGCGGGAACAUGGGUUCGAAUCCCGUUGGCGGUA